UACGAAGGGGGCUAGCGUUGCUCGGAAUUACUGGGCGUAAAGCGUGCGCAGGCGGUUACUUAAGUCAGGUGUGAAAGCCCUGGGCUUAACCUAGGAAUUGCGCUUGAGACUGGGUAGCUUUGAGUGUGGCAGAGGGAGGUGGAAUUCCACGUGUAGCAGUGAAAUGCGUAGAGAUGUGGAGGAACACCGAUGGCGAAGGCAGCCUCCUGGGCCAGCACUGACGCUCAUGCACGAAAGCGUGGGGAGCAAACAGG
rnacentral:rRNA from 1 species